UGUAUCUGAAGUCUGACGAGGAUGAGAACCUCCGGGGGCAAGGAGGUUCGACUCGAGCGAAGCGAGAGAACGUUGCGUCAGCAACGGCCCGCAGGGCGAGCCACGCACGUGGCGAGUCCGAUCCGUCUAUCACCGA
rnacentral:sRNA from 1 species